CCACAUUAUCAAUUCAGAAAGUGAGUGAGAAAUCUGCAAAAAUUAUAAUUUAAAUAAUUUUAAUGAUCCUGGUUGUUACACAUCAACAAAACAGCUGGAGUCAAAAUGAAUGGUACAAAUGCUUCUUCCAGCCUGGUGGACAAAGUGGUGACACUUUGGAAUGAAGGAGAUCGUCUUAUGGAAGGAGAACCACCCCAUGAUCAGG